UACGUAGGGUCCGAGCGUUGUCCGGAAUUAUUGGGCGUAAAGAGCUCGUAGGCGGUUUGUCGCGUCUGUCGUGAAAGCCCACGGCUUAACCGUGGGUCUGCGGUGGAUACGGGCAGACUUGAGUGCGGUAGGGGAGACUGGAAUUCCUGGUGUAGCGGUGAAAUGCGCAGAUAUCAGGAGGAACACCGGUGGCGAAGGCGGGUCUCUGGGCCGAUACUGACGCUGAGGAGCGAAAGCGUGGGGAGCAAACAGG
rnacentral:rRNA from 1 species